rnacentral:rRNA from 1 species
AUUGAACGCUGGCGGCAUGCCUUACACAUGCAAGUCGAACGGCAGCAUGAUCUAGCUUGCUAGAUUGAUGGCGAGUGGCGAACGGGUGAGUAAUACAUCGGAACGUGCCCUGUAGUGGGGGAUAACUAGUCGAAAGAUUAGCUAAUACCGCAUACGACCUGAGGGUGAAAGUGGGGGGCCGCAAGGCCUCAUGCUAUAGGAGCGGCCGAUGUCUGAUUAGCUAGUUGGUGAGGUAAAGGCUCACCAAGGCGACGAUCAGUAGCUGGUCUGAGAGGACGAUCAGCCACACUGGGACUGAGACACGGCCCAGACUCCUACGGGAGGCAGCAGUGGGGAAUUUUGGACAAUGGGGGCAACCCUGAUCCAGCAAUGCCGCGUGUGUGAAGAAGGCCUUCGGGUUGCAAAGCACUUUUGUCCGGAAAGAAAUCGCACUUACUAAUAUUAGGUGUGGAUGACGGUACCGGAAGAAUAAGGACCGGCUAACUACGUGCCAGCAGCCGCGGUAAGAC